AGGAUUUUCGUUAGGUUAUCCUAUAGAUAGGUUAGGUUACGUUGGUUUAUGGCAAUCCUAAAAAGUUACGCGUUUCUGAGAAAAA